rnacentral:tRNA from 1 species
GGUACGAUGGUGCGGUGGAUAGCACUAUUGCCUCACAGCAAGAAGGUCCUGGGUUCAAAUCCUAGGUCCUG